GCUGGGCGCGGUGGCACCUGCCUGUCAUCCCAGCAGCUCGGGAGGCUGAGGCCGGAGGAUCGCAAGUUGGAGGCCAGCCUCAGCCACUCAGCGAGACCCUGUCUCUA
rnacentral:sRNA from 1 species